rnacentral:lncRNA from 1 species
UUUGCAAGACCGUCAUCACAAGUCUCACUUUCGCUGUUCUCUGGGUCUCUGAGUCCAUUCUUUGGGUUUGGACGGGUGAGUCUGUUUCUCACAACCUGGUGGCCCAUAUGGGGAUUUCCAUGCCUGCAUGGAGUGAGACUCCAGCUGACAGGGGAGAUGUGUCCCACUCGAUUUGUGUGGCCCACUCUGUCCAGGUGUCUCAGCUCCCCGAAGAAGCCAUAGACAAACCUGAAACUGUUAUUCAGGAGACAACUAAAGUGACACAGGGAGAAAAGCAGGCAACCAGGCAACCUCACGCAUGAGCCAAGAUACAAAAUCAUUUUUAUGGUCAUGUUAUUGGUCAGAAGAUAAGUGAAUGGGUAAAGAACUUUCAGAAGAGAAAAUAAAACAAAGCACAAGAAAUAGUGGGAUUAGAAAAAUCUCUACGCCUACAAAGGUUACUCUUCCUGGAAGUGAGAAAAGAAGAUACAAAAGAUUCCAACAAGAAGCUUCCAGUAAAUGAAACAAGAACAUAUUUCCCAGAAAACUGGAUAAAACUGCAUUACCGAAUACCCUGGACUAGAGAAAGCUUAGAUGUUCCUCGUGGCAUCUCUCACUUGUUCUGGAAGUAUUAUCUUUAGUUAGGGGUAUUUCCUUAACUAAUAAAGCCUAGCAUUGCUGUUG